rnacentral:rRNA from 1 species
AUUGAACGCUGGCGGCAUGCCUUACACAUGCAAGUCGAACGGCAGCACGGGAGCAAUCCUGGUGGCGAGUGGCGAACGGGUGAGUAAUAUAUCGGAACGUGCCCAGUCGUGGGGGAUGACGCAGCGAAAGCUGUGCUAAUACCGCAUACGAUCUACGGAUGAAAGCGGGGGAGCGCAAGACCUCGCGCGAUUGGAGCGGCCGAUAUCAGAUUAGCUAGUUGGUGGGGUAAAGGCCUACCAAGGCGACGAUCUGUAGCUGGUCUGAGAGGACGACCAGCCACACUGGAACUGAGACACGGUCCAGACUCCUACGGGAGGCAGCAGUGGGGAAUUUUGGACAAUGGACGCAAGCCUGAUCCAGCAAUGCCGCGUGCAGGAUGAAGGCCUUCGGGUUGUAAACUGCUUUUGUACGGAACGAAACGGUGAGCUCUAAUACAGUUUGCUAAUGACGGUACCGUAAGAAUAAGCACCGGCUAACUACGUGCCAGCAGCCGCCGUAA